GUGGGGAAUUUUGGACAAUGGGCGCAAGCCUGAUCCAGCAAUGCCGCGUGCAGGAAGAAGGCCUUCGGGUUGUAAACUGCUUUUGUACGGAACGAAACGGUCCGGGUUAAUACCCUGGGCUAAUGACGGUACCGUAAGAAUAAGCACCGGCUAACUACGUGCCAGCAGCCGCGGUAAUACGUAGGGUGCAAGCGUUAAUCGGAAUUACUGGGCGUAAAGCGUGCGCAGGCGGUUUUGUAAGACAGGCGUGAAAUCCCCGGGCUCAACCUGGGAACUGCAUCUGUGACUGCAUUGCUGGAGUGCGGCAGAGGGGGAUGGAAUUCCGCGUGUAGCAGUGAAAUGCGUAGAUAUGCGGAGGAACACCGAUGGCGAAGGCAAUCCCCUGGGCCUGCACUGACGCUCAUGCACGAAAGCGUGGGGAGCAAACAGGAUUAGAAACCCGUGUAGUCC
rnacentral:rRNA from 1 species